rnacentral:lncRNA from 1 species
AUGUGUGUUCCCCAAAGAAACAAGUUGUCACUCUUGGUGUGCGAGUGCUGUAGAAGCAUGCAGCAGAGCAGAUGCCAUUUAACCAGUCCAGACCAGUUGCAACCUGUGUUUUGUGAAGGGGAGCCUAAAAGUUUCUGGCCACAAAGAAGCAAACUGCAGGGAAAACAAGGAAGUACUGGCAAAGACAAGCUGAUGGGAUCAGAGAACUUUUCAGUAAGUUUUGAUAAUGAGCAUUUUUCCACGCAUACUUACAAGUAAUGAGAUAACACACAGAAAUUAUCUAAAUUAAUGACAAUACGAGGGUGAAUUCCAAAUGAGGGUAAUUGCUCUUUAUCCUCCUAUGGAGAAGAUCCCAGAUAUCCAGAGGUGAGGAAGCAGUGCCUCCACUGCUUUCUUAUCUUGCAGUUGCUGUCUGGAAGGCAGAGCUGAGUGGGCUGAGUGUCAGAUUGCUCACCCUAAGCUCCUUUUCUCUUUCCUUCAGGUGAGAAUGAAGUUAGAGCAGUGUGGGAAGGAAAAGCACUUCAAUCAUCUUUCCAGAUGGAAUUUGGAAAUGCUCUCUAAAAUUAAACUUUUCCCCUGGUUCCCCCCAGUAGUCUUUAUCACUUGACAAAGUCAUAUUUCCUUUUAUUCUGGUGUAGAUUCUUUAGAGCAAACGUGUGAAAUCAGUCAUUUUAACGAUGACUGAAACUUUUUGGCUUUCGAGAAACGCCAAGAAACAAAAAAGAUAAGAAUCAUUUGCAGUGUCUAAUCCUGAUUAGUAAUGGUUAUUAACUCCAAAAUGCAUUGCAUUGCUUUAGGAAGCCAAAAAUCUCUUAUGUUUACUUCCUAUCCUGUAGUAAUAUACCUCAUUUUACAAAAAAAUGAGCUUCUUUUUCUUUUUGCUUUAGUAAAUGGAGAAUUAUUUCACGUGGCCAUAUAUCCACUAUUCAUUUUUUUUUUGGUCAUUUCGUGAAUUACUAAUUUCAUAGAAUGACUGUAACAGUUAUUACAAGGAUCAUUAAGAAGGGAUAUAAAAAUAAUGUGUAGAAAUAUUCCAACGAUUGUUGUUAGUGUCUAUUUUUAUUCAGAAUUCUUGCAUGCCUAUACAGCCAGAGGGGUGAUUUCAAACUGUGGCUCUCUUUGCAUUUAUGAUGUGGUAGCUGCCAAAAUCUUCAAGCGAGUAAAAGCUAUUUGGCCAUGCUGCCAAAUGUGAUACCCCUCUGAAACAUUUCUGUUUGCUAUGACUCUCACAAGAGAAAUGCCUUCUGUUUGAACAUUCAGAUAUCAAUAACCCAUCAUGGCUUUUAUACAGCACCUGAGAAUACAGUUACUACUGCUUGAUCUCAAAGAAGUGUAAGGACUCAACGCGGAUUGCAAAUCCUAGUGUACAAUAUAAUCAUAGAAACACUGAGGUUGGAAAAGACCUCUAAGAUCAUCAGGUCCAACCACAAGCCCACCCUCACCAUGUGCACUGCCCACAUCCCUCAGUGCCACAUCCACACAGUUCCUGAACACCUCCAGGGAUUGUGACUUCACCACCUCCCUGGGCAGCCUGUGCCACUGCAGCACCACAGCUUCUGAGAGGAAAUGUUUCCUGAUAUCCACCCUGAAGCUCUCCUGGUGUAACUUAAGGCCAUUCUCUCUUGCCCUAUCACUAGUUACCUGCAAUGAGCAGGUCAUCCCACACGUAUGAGAUACUGCAGAACUGGAAUCUCUUCUGUAAUUGAGUGUGGUAAUUUUUUCCUUUAUUUGUAGUUCUCCCGUGUUGCCCUUUAUAAAUGCUACUGGUAUAUGGGCUUGAACCUAAUGUUUACUGACACUCGUGUGACAGCUUUUAGAGACAAAGAGUCUCACCAGCUUAGAAUUCAGCUGUGAAUUUGGCCUUAUUUCAAAAGGGACAUCUGAAAAACAGUGUUUCAUCUUCAAAUGUGAGUAUUGUGGAAUUACAGUGUAUUUUUAUAAAAUGGUGGCCCAGGAAUGGUGGAGUACAGGACCACUGUAUGGCCUUAUCAAGGAGUUAAUGUACACUUCAAGACUCUCCAUGCUGCUGUUACUUAUCAGGGGAAAUCUGCUCCUACAAGAUCAGCUUCUGGAUAAUAAACCAUAAUUUGUGCUUUUUUUCUUUGUAGUC